AACGAACGCUGGCGGCAGGCUUAACACAUGCAAGUCGAGCGCCCCGCAAGGGGAGCGGCAGACGGGUGAGUAACGCGUGGGAAUCUACCCAUCUCUACGGAAUAACGCAUGGAAACGUGUGCUAAUACCGUAUACGUCCUUCGGGAGAAAGAUUUAUCGGAGAUGGAUGAGCCCGCGUUGGACUAGCUAGUUGGUGGGGUAAAGGCCUACCAAGGCGACGAUCCAUAGCUGGUCUGGGAGGAUGAUCAGCCACACUGGGGCUGAGACACGGCCCAGACUCCUACGGGAGGCAGCAGUGGGGAAUAUUGGACAAUGGGCGCAAGCCUGAUCCAGCCAUGCCGCGUGAGUGAUGAAGACCCUAGGGUUGUAAAGCUCUUUCACCGGUGAAGAUAAUGACGGUAACCGGAGAAGAAGCCCCGGCUAACUUCGUGCCAGCAGCCGCAGUAACAC
rnacentral:rRNA from 1 species